rnacentral:rRNA from 1 species
CCCUUAGAUGUUCUGGGCCGCACGCGCGCUACACUGAUGCAUUCAACGAGCCUAGCCUUGACCGAGAGGUCCGGGUAAUCUUUGAAACUGCAUCGUGAUGGGGCUAGAUUAUUGCAAUUAUUAAUCUUCAACGAGGAAUGCCUAGUAAGCGUGAUUCAUCAAAUCGCGUUGAUUACGUCCCAGCCCUUUGUACACACCGCCCGUCGCUCCUACCGAUUGAGUGUGUUGGUGAGGAGUUUGGAUUGGCCUCGGAAGGUGGUUCGCCACCGUCCGUAGCUGAGAAGUUCUCCAAACCGCCCCACUUAGAGGAAGGAGAAGUCGUAACA